UCCAGGAGUUUGAGGUUGCAGUGAGCUACGAUGACGCCACUGCACUCUAGCCCGGAGACAGAGAGGCAAUUCCAUCCGCGUGGCUUACACAGCGUCAGGAGCAUCAUGACUGAAUGUUGUAUAUGAGGGUUGGCCCCGUGCAGCACCAAUGGGCUGCCCUGUCUCCAUCCUGAACAGCUGCCUGCUGCUUGGAUUCUGGUGGGCCAACCUCAUGUUGCUCUCCAACACCGGAGGUUGUGGUUGUCCAAGAAUUGCCAAUUGGCCCAGUCACUAACUAGUGCUGAGACUAUGGAAGUCACUUUAGCUGAGUGUCAGUUUCUUCAUCUAUAAAAUAGGGCAAAUAUCCUGCCCUUCCUACUUACCUAAGACAGCAUGGAUAUGAAAGCCUCCAAAGCUCCAGCAUAGAUGUCUCUGGAGCUGCAGGACUCACAGACCACGAGAGGACAGCAGGCCAGAGCCCACGCCAUCAGACCUUCUCAAGUCACAGGCCAGACUGGGGAGGCCACAUGCCCACAGGUCAAGAAAGCCGGGUCUCUGACUCCAACCCAGCAUUUGUAUACCCACAGGUGCUGGAAGCGGGGCAUGAACAGCACCCAGGAUUCUGGCAAGGCCCCUACGGCUGGUGAGUGGGGCUAAAGAUCUCCCAGAGAGCAGGCAGGACCAGCACAGCCCCACUCAUCCACCAGAAGCCACAGCUAUCUCUUCGCUCAGCAAACAGACCCACCUCAAAGGAUAUCGCGGGAUGAGGAGGGUGGCAGGGGUAGGCACCGGUGACUGCAGAUGCAAUCGGCCCCCAUUCUGUCUUCUCACCUACACUCUAAGACCUAAGAUCCUUUCAAAAAAAUUUUUAUCCCUACGUACAAAGUCCCAAUUGUAUUACUAAGGCAAAGAGAAUUCCGGGUCUUUGUGGGGUCUACUUGGCCUCAGUUGAUAGUCUCACAAACAGGGAACAAAGAACGCAGAGAGGCUGCAGGUUUACAGAGGGAGACACGACCCAGUAGGGGAGCUGAGGAGACACCCGGAGUCCCCCUGACCAGGCUCAGGAGAUUCAGACUGCGCUUUCAACGACAGCCCACGAGGGACCUGAGGAAAGAGGCCUCCAACGCAUAACUCUUUUGAGAGCCACCCUGUGCCCAAAAUACCUGCAGAACCAAGUGCCCACCUAUGUGUCUGCUGUACUUGUGGGUGGCAUCCGGAAGUUUCUGGGUGCCAAAGACAUUCUACCCUGUAGCCUCAUCUACUCUCUCACCCACUGGGGCUGUGACUCAUUUUCUCCCACGGUUUGAUCCUCCUCUGUUUGCUAAACCUGGAUUCUGGUUUGCUUCAUGUCCUGGGGGACUCUGAGAACAAAGUUCCUUCCGUAGCUGGGCUCUGACAGUCCCCUCCAUGCACCUUCCUGUUCAUAGGUGUUACCAAUGGGUGACCCUAGACAAAUUCCGUAACUCCCCCCUUGCCAAUAACUCAGAAAUGUCA